UACGGAGGGUGCAAGCGUUAUCCGGAUUCACUGGGUUUAAAGGGUGCGUAGGCGGGCAGGUAAGUCAGUGGUGAAAUCUCCGAGCUUAACUCGGAAACUGCCAUUGAUACUAUUUGUCUUGAAUAUUGUGGAGGUAAGCGGAAUAUGUCAUGUAGCGGUGAAAUGCUUAGAUAUGACAUAGAACACCAAUGGCGAAGGCAGCUUACUACACAAUGAUUGACGCUGAGGCACGAAAGCGUGGGGAGCAAACAGG
rnacentral:rRNA from 1 species